UUUUGUACACGCGGGAGCUCGGAGCACCGGGCUGAGAGGGCGCUGACCUCCGUCCCGUCGAUGUUUCACAUGAAACGCCACUUGUCCGAGUGAUGUUUCCCACGGGACGUCGGCAGACGGAAGCCGCUGCGUCGACCGCCGAACCUGUUACCGGGUAAUGCCGGCGUAGGGAGUAGGUCUCAUGACCAA
rnacentral:ncRNA from 17 species